UUGAGCAAAGUUGGCAGGCCUGACCGCGAGCCUGUUGAUUUUAUAGCUUUGUUUUUUGCUGCAUUUUCCCACGGCCUCAGUUUUUUAUUAAGCUGUUGUUUUCGUAAAAAGUUUUUGCGAAUUUCGCAUCAUAAAAUUAAAGUUUGGAAAUUUACAGUAUUUUUAAAGUAUAACAAUGAAAAAGAAAGAUGAUGCUGAAUGUCUGAUAAGUGUCGAUUCCAGUGAUGAUGAAGAAAACACGUUAUCAAAACAAAAGGAAUCGGAUAGUGAUAAAAUAAAAGUUGAUAAUUCUUUUGUUCCUUUGCGUAAGGCUCAGACUAUAGAGGAUGAUCAUGAGCCGCCGGCACUUACAAUGAGCGAUGUGGAACCAAGUUCAUCGGCGCAAAUUGUUCCUCAGACGCAGGGAAAUGGAAUAGGACAAGAUUCUAUAGCAGUGGGAGCUGAUGAUGUUCUAUCUGCUAAUGAUGUGGCUAUUAAUGAGCGAAGCACUGGCGGUGGCGCAACUGAACCGACUGCUACAAUACGUACUCGAGUAGCUACUAAUAACACCACCGCCCUGAGAGACGACGUCUAUGAGAGCUUGGAUUACGAUGUAUGCGAUAAUGUGCUAUUCAAAGAGGCUCAAAAGCGUACAGAUAAUGCGCGCUUCAGCAUUCGCAAAGACAUCUUACGUUGGAUAAUAUUUAUAAAAAUUGGAGUUGUAACCGCCCUAAUUGCUUGUGCUAUUGACAUACCCAUCGAAGAAUUGUCGGCUGUAAAAUACACGUUUCUCAAAAAUUCCGUCGAUAACAAUACUGCUGCAAACAUCAACCCUGAUGGAAAUCUUGUCAUUCCAUACAUCUAUUGGAUGGCUAUAAGUAUAAUACCAGUGGUUUUAGGAGCAGCACUUGUAACUUAUGUGGAGCCAAUCACUGCUGGUAGCGGAAUGCCUCAGGUAAAGAGCUAUCUGAACGGCGUAAAAAUUCCGCGAAUUGUACGCAUCAAAACUCUGUCUGUAAAAGCGGUUGGAGUGGUAACAGCCGUCGUUGGCGGUCUAGUGGGUGGAAAGGAAGGUCCAAUGGCACACGCAGGAGCAGUAGUGGCUGCGGGUAUUUCUCAAGGCAAAAGCACAACGUUUGUUAAGGACUUUCGCAUUUUCCGUGAUUUUCGGGAUGACCAUGAGAAACGUGAUUUUGUAUUGGGCGGCGCGGCGGCUGGUGUCGCUGCUGCUUUCGGGUCGCCAAUCGGAGGAAUGUUAUUCUCGCUGGAAGAAGCUGCUAGUUUUUGGAAUCAAAAUCUUAUUUGGCGUACGCUGGUUGCAUCCGUUAUAAGUUCAUUCACCCUAAACAUUGUACUAUCCGCCUACCACGGAUUAAAUAAUUUCACUUUUACUGGUCUCUUUAAUUUGGGAAAAUUCGAACAACCGCUAACUUUUGAAUAUUUCGAAUUGCCUAUAUUUAUGCUAUUCGGCGUAACGGGUGGCCUUAUGGGUGCCACGUGGAACUCGUAUAAUACACAUAUCAAUCGAUUUCGAAAACGUUUCAUUAAAUACAAAGUUGCGCGAAUCAUUGAAGCAGCUCUCGUCGCGUUGGUUGGUGUGACGUUGGCAUGCAUUAUGAUAUUUUUCAUAAAUGACUGUCGGCCACUAGGAAAUGAUCCCACUGACUAUCCAGUGCAAUUAUUCUGCGAGGACAAUGAAUAUAACGCUGUAGCGGCACUUUGGUUCCAAACACCAGAGGCGACGGUGCGUUCCUUGUUUCACGAUCCACCAGGCUCCCAUAAGAUCUUGACACUAACCGUGUUUACACUAGUAUAUUACUUUCUCUCCUGUGUUACUUUCGGUCUAAAUGUGUCGCUUGGUAUAUUUAUACCAACAGGUUUAGUUGGAGCUGCAUGGGGUCGUUUGGUUGCCAUGAUUAUAUUCUACAUUUUUCCUGAAGCUACCUUUCUAAGCCCCGGUAAGUACGCAUUAAUCGGCGCGGCCGCAAACUUGGGUGGCGUGCUGCGCAUGACCAUCAGCCUUUCGGUCAUACUUAUGGAAACAACGGGAAUCGAAACAUCAUUCUUUUUCCCCUUAAUUGUUACUUUAAUUAGUGCAAAGUGGGUAGGCGACUACUUUACAGAGGGCAUCUACGAUAUACAAAUUAAAAUGAGUGGUGUACCAGUAUUGCCAUGGGAACUUCCACCUAAAUAUGAGGGGCUUAAUGCAUCACAGUUAAUGAGUUCACCUGUAGUCUAUAUUAAAAAAUGUGACAGCGCCAAUUAUAUCUACAAAAUACUGCGACGUUGCAAGCACAAUGGCUUUCCAGUUGUAGAGGAUGUACAGGGCAAUAAUCGCGAAAAUGGACGUGUCUGUGGUAUAGUUUUGCGUUCGCAACUGAUUGUGAUUUUACUGAAUUCGUUGUAUGAGGAAAAGAAGCAAUUUUGGGAGAAAGCAAUUUCAAUAGAAACAUUUAGAAAUGUUUACCCACGCUAUCCGUCCAUCGAUAGCGUACGUAUGCGACCUGAAAAACAAAACUACACUGUCAAUCUGGAGAUAUUCAUGAAUCCCUCACCCGUGCGCGUUAGCGAAAAUGACUCGGCGUCUAAGAUAUUCAAGAAAUUUCGCGCACUUGGCUUGCGGCAUAUGAUUGUGAUUGAUAAAGAAAAUCGCGUUGUUGGUAUUAUUACGCGCAAGGAUUUUCUAUACAAAUAUUGAAUGCUUGCAAUAUAUGAGCCGUUUAUUUUGAAAGUGGCAUAAGUCACAUCGUACCCUUGUGCUUAAAUAACCGUAUUCUUGUAACCGAGUGCAUCUCUCAAUUCGCUCUAUCGUCAUAAACUAACGACAACACCUUCUACCUUUGGUUGAUGAAGUUGAACGAAUUGCCGUCGCAUUCAGACACAAGUAACCAGAGGUAAUUUAAGCAAAAGACUUGUGAAGUGACUUAUGCCACUUGCAAAAUAAACGGCUCAUAUACAUAAAUAUAUUUCUAAGUAUGCGCCUAGAAUGCUAAGAUUUUAUGAUUUUAAUCAUCACUUCGAAUGUUAAAUUAGUCGUGUUAUAUUUUUUUUUCUUUAAGUUUCAUAUUCAUAUAAUGAUACUAUAUGAAGUGUGAGGUAUUUUGAAUUUGUGUAAAGAAACCCAACAAACAUAUGUAUUAGGGGUCUUCAUCAAAAGUGAUAAACUGCUGAUAAACUUGAUAAAAUGAUAAAUUUCCAAUUUUGAUACAUGAAAUGUCAAACAUUGUAUGGGAAUCUAUUUAACCAAAAUUUAUCACUUUAUCAAACGUUUUUGGUGGAUAAAUGCAUAAAUUUCAGCAAAAAUCUACCCUGGCAGGUUGCCACAUUGUCCCUUUUGCUACGAACACAUAAAAAGCAAAUGAACACAAUGGAAGAGGUAAGAAUGAAACAGAACUAGCCGUAUAAGUUAAAUAAUAAACAAUUUUAUAUAAUUAUUUACCAAGCUGCGUUCAUAAAAGAAUGCGUGUAAACUGAUAAAUUUAAGCAAUCUAUCCAUGUAUCACUUUAGAAGAGGACCCCUAUUAGGUUAGAGAACAAUUAGAAAACGAUUCGAAUUCGAAUGUGUAUUUCUAAGGUAGAAGGCUAGAGGAUUUCAUUUCAUUCAUUUAUUUAAUAAAUGAAGUUAAAAUCUUAUGUAGUGUUUAAUGUACGCGUCUAAAGUAUGCCUUAUAUAACGAUAAGUAAUUCGUUCCAAUUUAAUAUUAUACAUACUUACUUACAUUACAA